GGAUGCGAUCAUACCAGCACUAAAGCACCGGAUCCCAUCAGAACUCCGAAGUUAAGCGUGCUUGGGCGAGAGUAGUACUAGGAUGGGUGACCUCCUGGGAAGUCCUCGUGUUGCUUUCC
rnacentral:rRNA from 1 species